GGUUGUUGCCUUCAACCAUGUUGGCCUCAGUCACCAUUGCAACGAGAUCCUCCUCAGUGAGAUUCGCUUGAUGUUUCUUAUCUCUGAUCUUCCUGCGACACUCAGCAGUCUUGUGUCCCACUUUGUGGCAGUAGUGACACUUCCCCUUGAAUAUCUCCACAUUCGCAUUGAUUUCAAUGCCUUUGUUCUUGAAGUUUUAUCCAAAAGCCUUCAGGGCUUCAGCAGUUUUGGAAGGCUUGGCAAGAGAAUGGGCGUGUGUCUUUCCUUUGCCUUUGUGCUCAGCCAUAUUGACACUGUGCUCGUUAGCAGUGACCUUGUCAGCAGUUCGGUUUAUGGAUUCCAUCUAAAGCCUCAUUAUGAGCUCCUCGAGCCCUGGCCCAUCUUUUUCUUUUUGUGCUUCAAGUAGUUCUUGAAAUCUGCAUAGCUUUGAGGAAGCUUUUCAAUGAAGCUGAGAAUUGUGAAUGUCUCGCAGAUGGACAUUCCUUCAGCAGCGAUUUCAUGGCAAAUGAGCUGAAACGCUUCCACCUGAUCCAUGAUGGGUUUUGAAUCCACCAUUUUGAAGUCGUAGAAUUUUAAGACCACAUACUUUUGGCAGCCAGCGUCCUCACCUCUGUACUUCUUAUCUAGGGAUCUCCACAGCUCUUUCGCACUGGGAAUGUCACAGUAGACUCGGUACAAUGGGUCAAUGAGACGACCUAAAAUGUCUAAAAAUAAUCUUAUUGGACCGGGGACCCUCCACCAAGACCCACGCCCACGCUUGAGCCGAGCCGGCCGGAUGGCGGCGGCACGUGCGUGGGGAGAAAUCCUAUCCCCUGAAGCCGUUUAAGCAAUGAUAGUAAAGGAACAUAUAUAUAUUGCUCCAUUUUUCUCUUGCCAGGCGACGUGGGACUUUGCUCCACUUCUUCGUUCAUUUAACUUAAGCAAACAAUGUUUUUUUAUUAAAAACCUGUAGGUCCAUUUCGUUUUCACAUUUGACCAUUUAUUAUUUAAGCCAAUAGGUUAAAUAAUUAGGUGCAACAUCAUGUGCUUUUAUGGUUGUCAUCAAUGCUUCAACCUCCAUUAUAUUACGGUUUGAAAGUAUCAGGUAGGCACUGCCGCAUGGACCUCAGACUUUCUUGAGUCCAUUGUUUCCUUAUGGGCCUAAAGGACACUAGACCGGGUUCUCAGACCGGGUAUGUAGGCGGAGUGAAAUUCUCCAACAAUAGCCCCACCUCCCCUCCGAAGUUCGGCGUGACUCAGGUCGUCAGACAGGUUGUGGGUGUUGAUUCCGACGUGGGUGAUGUAUUUGAGACUGGUGGUCUAUGUGUUUCAAGGUCCAGUUCGAGAUUCUGGUUUGGCGAAUUAAUUACACGAUUUGGUUGAUGUAAAUCAACGGAUUUGAUUUUCCCCCUUAGAAAGUGGUUGUAACGUGGCAAUCAUUUCUUUUUGCGGUUCCCAAUUUUCAGAAUAUAAACUUUAUGUCUUCUUUUUUGUUUGUCACUUGCAUUUGCUAGAGAAAACUGAAAAUUGUUGUUCCUAAUUUUCAGAAUGUAAACUUUAUGUCACUCUCUAUUGUGCGGCACUGUUCUUGUCCGGUUUCCUUCUUGAUUUUCUGUUUGAUUUUACUUUUUAUGUCAUAAUUGUUGUUUUCAAGUUUCACCUUUGGUAUCUUGCUCUGAUUUGCCAUAAUCGCCGUCUUCUUCGUUGAGACUUAUUGUUUUGUGAAUACGAUUGCUAGGAUUUUAUGACGCGAGUGCUUGCUCUGAUGAUCAAUUUUGUUGCUUAUCUUAUGUUUUUUUGUAGCCGAGCCAGUAGAAUCUUCGUAUUUCGUAUCUGUCUUUGUUUCUAUUUUGUCAUUAUGCGUACAACUGUUACAAUCUCCAACCUUGUUCAGAAGGCGGCUGAAUCUGCCAAAGAGAGAGAGAGAGAGAGAGGGGAAAAGGUAAAAGCUGCUCGGGAAGCGGCAGCUCAAGAGUUUCACUUUUAAUAUGGAAGUUCGGGAGGCAGUUCCUGAAACAAUUCAUGUCAUGGUCCCUCCUUAUGAAGCCGCUAAGCUUAGUUCUUCGGUACAGGCCGUCAUGGGAAGUUGUGACAGACGCGGCUUUGAUGCCACCUCCGGUUCCUCUGACCCUUCUUGUUUUAAGGUUUGUUGUCGAUAUCUGUGGCGAGAGAGGCUGGUUUAAAACGACUGGUCGUCCUCCGGACGAGAAAGAUAUAUUACUCAGCUCAGAGAUCUUCGAUGGAUUCUCCUGCAAAUACAAUGGAUAGUUCCGAUAAGGGGUGCCGGUUGAUUUUGGAGACAAACUCUAGAAAGCGCUCUGCUCCUAGUUCCGGAAUCGGGAUCUCGUUGUCUUCAAAAGGCCUGGGGCGGACGAUGGGCCGAGCUCUCGACCUUCUGCGUCGAAAGGGCGAGUAUGCUUUUUCCUUCGAGUUUUUAGACAACAUUCAUCUUGCUAAUGAUGGGAAAGCUUGCUCGCGUCUCCAUUGUGAGAUCUGCCUCGCUGGUGAUCUUAGUUUUCCAGAGAAGAUAUUUGUUGGGAAUGACAUUUACGAAAGUGUAUACCGAUAUAAUGUUUUGUUUAUUUGUUGCAUAUGGGCUGGGUGAUUCGCAACCUGGCAUUCUACGAGUACAAGAUCCGAGAGGUUCGAGUUAAGGUCGUCAUUGCGGAGAAAGAAGCCCUUCAAUGUAAAGAUGCAUUGAAGGCGGAGCAAGCCAAAACCCAGAAAGUGCUCGUGCUAGGACUUUGUUAAGUUAGUUUUUGCAUUGUGCUAGGGAAACGGCUUAUUCAUGACCACACUACGAAGACGGAGAAAAUACAUACCCAAACUACAUUAACGUGCCAAAAUAUUUUCAAACUAUAUAAAAAUUCGAAUUGCUUACAUAAACUCACAAUUAAUAACUAAAACAUGCCUCAUAACUGACACAUGUCAGUCCUUUCUAAAAUGUGUUGAUUUAUUUUUUUAAUUAUUAUAUUUUAUUCUUUAUCA